UACGUAGGGAGCAAGCGUUGUCCGGAAUCAUUGGGCGUAAAGCGCGCGUAGGUGGCCCCAUAAGUCCGCUGUGAAAGUCAAAGGCUCAACCUUUGAAAGCCGGUGGAUACUGUGGGACUAGAGUACGGAAGAGGCGAGUGGAAUUCCUGGUGUAGCGGUGAAAUGCGCAGAUAUCGGGAAGAACACCCGUGGCGAAGGCGGCACUCUGGGACGGUACUGACGCUGAGACGCGAAAGCGUGGGGAGCGAACAGG
rnacentral:rRNA from 1 species